rnacentral:rRNA from 1 species
AGUGAACGCUGGCGGUAGGCCUAACACAUGCAAGUCGAACGGCAGCACAGUAAGUGCUUGCUCGUACGGGUGGCGAGUGGCGGACGGGUGAGGAAUACAUCGGAAUCUACUUUUUCGUGGGGGAUAACGUAGGGAAACUUACGCUAAUACCGCAUACGACGUACGGGUGAAAGCAGGGGAUCUUCGGACCUUGCGCGAUUGUAUGAGCCGAUGUCGGAUUAGCUAGUUGGGGGGGUAAAGGCCCACCGAGGCGACGAUCCGGAGCUGGUCUGAGAGGAUGAUGAGGCACACUGGAACUUGGACACGGUCCAGACUCCUACGGGAGGCAGCAGUUGGGAAUAUUUGACAAUGGGCGCAAGCCUGAUCCAGCCAUACCGCGUGGGUGAAGAAGGCCUUCGGGUUGGAAAGCCCUUUUUGUUGGGAAGAAGAGGAGGAAGUUAAAACCCCGCUGUUUUGACGGUACCCAAAGAAUAAGCCCCGGCUAACUUCGUG